ACGGACCUGGGCGGCAACAACACGCCGCUUAUGCACACUCGUCACACAAACAGCAGCGUACGUUGGGUCAUGCACACGAUUAAGGUCUUGUUCGGGAUGCCCUCCUCCCCCACAGCUUUUUCAUCAAAUAUAUUUUGCUACGGGCGGCCCGGUAGUCCAGUGGUUAGCGCGUCGGCUUCACAGUGCAGAGAUACCGGGUUCGAUUCCAGCUCCGGCCUCCCUGUGUGGAGUUUGCAUGUUCUCCCCGGGCCUGCGUGGGUUUUCCCCGGGUGCUCCGGUUUGGGCGGCCCGGUAGCCCAGUGGUUAGCACGUCGGCUUCACAGUGCAGAGGUACCGGGUUCGAUUCCAGCUCCGGCCUCCCUGUGUGGAGUUUGCAUGUUCUCCCCGGGCCUGCGUGGGUUUUCUCCGGGUGCUCCGGUUUCCUCCCACAUUCCAAAAACAUGCGUGGCAGGCUGAUUGAACACUCUAAAUUGUCCCUAGGUGUGAGUGUGAAUGGUUGUUCGUUUCUGUGUGCCCUGCGAUUGGCUGGCAACCGAUUCAGGGUGUCCCCCGCCUACUGCCCGAAGACAGCUGGGAUAGGCUCCAGCACCCCCCGCGACCCUAGUGAGGAUCAAGCGGCUCGGAAGAUGAAUGAAUGAAUGAAUGAAUAUUUUGCUACCUCUUCCCAUGCAAGGUUUUUUUUUUCCCCCAGCCGCAUUUCAGUUAAUAUUUGUCUUUGUAAUACUACAUUAUUUUUCUUUUAAUAGCUGUGUGGCAUUUAUCUUCAAAUAUUUACGUCUUUUUUCCCCCAAACUACAGUACUAAUACUACACAGCAAUGUGUAUUUUCUUCUCUCUCAAAUAUUUGCGCGCGCACAUACGCACCAUUUUGCUGGACACGGUGGAGCCGUAGGCCAGCACCAGCGACUUGACGUGCGGGCCCACGACCGGGAGAAGGUUCUGGAUGAUCCCGUUCAAGAGUCUCUUCUCACGCUGGGCCGUGCUGAUGGCCAACGA